CGUGCCUAAUACAUGCAAGUCGAGCGGACUGGAGGGAGCUUGCUCCCAAAGGUUAGCGGCGGACGGGUGAGUAACACGUGGGCAAUCUGCCCGACAGACCGGGAUAACGCUUGGAAACGAGUGCUAAUACCGGAUAGGCUUUUCUCUCGCAUGAGGGGAAAGAGAAAGAAGCUUUCGCUUCACUGUCGGAUGAGCCCGGGGCGCAUUAGCUAGUUGGUGAGGUAACGGCUCACCAAGGCGACGAUGCGUAGCCGACCUGAGAGGGUGACCGGCCACACUGGGACUGAGACACGGCCCAGACUCCUACGGGAGGCAGCAGUAGGGAAUCUUCCACAAUGGGCGCAAGCCUGAUGGAGCAACGCCGCGUGAAUGAUGAAGGCCUUCGGGUUGUAAAAUUCUGUCUUCUGUGAAGAACAAGUGUGAGAAGGGAAUGCUCACACCCUGACGGUAACAGAGGAGGAAGCCCCGGCUAACUACGUGCCAGCCGCCGCCGUAAUAC
rnacentral:rRNA from 1 species